rnacentral:tRNA from 1 species
GAGGGCAUACCUCAGUGGUAGGGUUCAUGCUUAGCAUGCACAAGAUCUUGGGUUCAAUCCCCAAUACCUCCA